GUGAGUGGCGGCCAGGGGCGGCGGCGCCGGUGCGGCCUAGUCUUCGGUCACCGCAGGCCCUGGGGCUCCCUCUCCACCCCCCAUCCCCGCCGUCAAAGGGCCUGCGCAGGUGUGGGCGGAAGCAUCCAUGCGAGCAGCCUGCGGGUAGCUGUGUUGUUUGAAGAUGAGGUGUUUGGGGCCUGUUCUAUGGUUGCGUCGUGGCGUGUCCCCCUUCAAAAACCUUAAGUCGAUGUGUACGGGCUUGUGUUGCCCGUGUAAAAGGCCGGUAUCCAGUCCCCAGGAGCACCCCAGGCUAUUUGCAGCGGGAGGAUGGGCUGGCUGUCAGACCGUAUCACCUCUUCUGCAAGCUCAGGGCUGUCAAACAAGGGUUGGUUUGCAAACCUGAGCUCAGACCAGGCAGCUGAAGGAAACUCAGAGGUUCUCAGCAGAGACCAGAGGAGAAGGACCCAUGCUUUGCUCUGCCUUGCGUCAACCAAUGCCCUCUUCAUCUCCAUCCGUCUCAUGCAGGCAGCUGGGAUCCGGUUUUCACAGACCUGAAUCUCUGGGUUUGCUUUUUGUGCAGAGGGUUUGGAUGUGGGCAUGCUGCGCCUCCAUUCCCAUCUGGGAUUUCAGCAGGAUUUCUAUGUUCCAUCUUUUCCCCUUUUUCUCUUCUUCCUAUAAUGUUUUUUUCAUCCUUGGAUAGAGGGCAGAUUUAACCGGCCUCCCGCUAUAGGAAGCCUGGAUACUUGGUUAUCUUGGCUGAUCUCUGAACAAACCCUUAAACUUUUGUGGGCAAAGGCUCUCUCCUGCUUGAGAAAAAACAAAAUGUUGGCUGGGAGUUCCCAUGUGACAGUUUUCAUGAGACCCUUCGGUGCUAUAUAAAUUUCCAGAUUGGUCUUCUUGUGAAUACUGAGUUUUCAUGGGUUAGUAGGGAGACCAAAGUACAUGGUCUGUGCCUGUCAUCCUGCUCCUUGUGGCUGCCUUAAGGGCAGCUCAGGACACCUCCCUCCUGGCAGCUUGGAGUUGUUUUUAGAACUUUAUUGAUGGGGGCCCUGGAGUUUCCUUUCAGUAUUGAAAGUUAACCAGUUUUUCUCCGUCAGUUUUGUCCCACUGACUUACCUCUGCUGCUUUUUUCCUCAGCAUCGGAGAGUGUGCAGGGAAGCAGUCCGUCCUUCUGCCCAAGCUGCUUGGACCCACAUCUCUUCUCCAGCAUUGGCAACGGCACUAGAUUCACCAAGCCUGAAUUUGUCAUUCCCAUCUGAGCCCUGGAAGAACUCAGAGGAGAUUCUCAAGGUCUCUGGUGCUGCCUUGUCCGAGGCUGAGUAGCAGCACAGAGGAGCAGGUGAGCCUGGCAGAGGUGCCUGCAGCUUUGGACAACACACUCAUGGUCCCCAGGAGCGGGCUUCAGCAUGCAGCUGUCACCUCCUACGGAUACAAACUGCAGUGCCUCAGGAUCCAGGUGAGGCAGAUCGCCAGGGAGAGGGACAAGGCAAGGCUGGACUUGGAGAAAGUGGAGAGAUGCUGCCUGCAGCUUGGCAGGGAGUUGGACGAGCAGUACGUCGCUCUCGAGCACACCCAGAGAAAGCUCAAGGACGUUCAGGCAGAAAUAGAAGCAAAAGAGCUGCUUUUGCAGCAAGCAGUCAAUCACCAAGCGAAGCUGGAGGCUGAUGCACGGUUCCUCCAGGGCAAAGAGGACAGCCUGCAAGGGAGACUGAACCACACAAUGAAGGAGAACACACAGCUGCAAAACAAGGUCACAGAGAUGGCUGAGAAGCUGGCGGCCUCUGAGAAGCUGGUGUUGGAGCUGCAGAAAGAACUCAACUGUGUUGCAAAGGACAAGCUUGUGGAGUCUCACAGCCCAGAGCUCCCAAACCAGAACGAGUGCUUUGCAGAGAUUGUCCUGGAGUACGAGCGGCAGUGCCAGGUGCUGUGGGACCAGAACAGAGUGCUGUGGAGGGAGCUGGAAAGGCUGCGUCUCCAGCUACGGGAAUGCAGGGCUGAGAGAGGGCUGCCAGGAGGAGGCUUGUCCUCACAGGGCUCCUCUCUCAGAGCGUGCCGCUCUCCCAGCCCUCUGGUUCCCACUUCUGCCUGCACAGAGACAUCACCCUCAAUGGAGCAGCGCCAAGAGCAGCUGCGGGAUCUGAAGGUGCAGCUGGAAACGAAGAUAAACUAUUACGAGGAGGAAAUUGAGUUAAUGAGGAGAAACUUUGAGAGAGAGAGGAAGAACAGUGAGGAAAGCUUCAAGGCUGAGAUGCGCAAGAUGGAAGACCAGAAAAGAGAGCUGGAAGAAACAGUUGCAAAGUACUGGUCUGUAAUUGAUAGUCUGAAAGAGCAAAAAUGUGUGUGGAGCCUGGAGCUGGAGGAGAGGUUUGAGAUGGAGCAGGCCAGGGUGAGACAACAGCACACGGAAGACAUUCACCAUCCAGGGCAGCAGCUGUACCAGGAGGGAGAAGAGCUGAGGACGCAGUGCAAGGACAGAGAGAGUCUGAGGAAACACGUGAGCAAGUUGGGCGGAGAGAAGGUGGAGGAGCUGGCUGAAAUAGCAGAGUUAACAGCAUCGAGCGAGAAAAGCAAGGGGGAGGUCUCCCACCUGAAUGUCAGGGUGUGUCAGCUGGGCCGUGAACUCGGAGGGCACAAGGCCAGCCACGGUGCUGGCCCUGGCACUCUCCAGCGGCAGAGCCAGAGGCUUGCGGAGGCUGAGAGGCUACGAGGAGCAGAAGCAGCCAUAAGGCUGGAGCACCACCAGCAGCAUGCAGCAUGUUGGAUGGAGACAGAGCUGCUUCGACAGCAGCUCAAGACAUUGCAGGAGAAGCUCUUAGAAGCCAAAGCAAGCCUGAGCUUGGCCCAGACUCGGCAUGCUCUGCAGUUGCAGCAGGCUAAGACCCAGAUGAGCAACAUGGUGCCAAAGAAACAGUUUGAGCAGCUGCAAAACAGCCUGAGAGAGGAACAGUGCAAGGCUCAGCAGCUCCAGGAAAACCUCCACCAUCAGGCUGAGCAGACAUGCAGGCAGCUGGUCAGAACCCAGGAAGAACACGAGCGUCUGCUGCAGGCAGCUGUGGAGCAGGCAGAGGGGCUGGAGCAUAACCUGAGGAGUGCUGAAGCUCUGCUGGCAGAGAGGGCGGCUCAGCUCAAGGACACGCAGGCCCAGCUCUCCAGGAACAAAUUGCUGAUCAAAGACCUCCGUGAGGAGAACAGGGGGUUUGCAGUGGCCCUGCAGGCAGCUGAGCUGAAGCAGAAGAGCACUGAGGAGAAGAACCAGCUGUUGGAGGAGCAAGCCUCAGCCCUGAAACAGCUCAUUGGAAAAAUCACGCCAGCAUCUCUGAGUGGGUGAUGGGGCACUCGCUGUGGGAGCCCUGGUCCUGGCACUGGCCCAGGUUUGUCAGCUUGUCUUGGGCUCUAGGAGGGUCUGGCUCUCCUAAAGCUUGAGCCUAGGAUCCAAACCAAGUCAGAUUGUUUGGAUGGAGGCACUGCGGGAAGAGCCUUCUUUCAAUUUGAGCCUCCAAGGUGAUCCCUACCCAGCACUGCACUUAAAAGGAGACCAGAAGAUGUGGACAGUGGUACCAUCAUCGAUCUCAAAUUCUCCAUAGUCUCUUAAACACCGCACCUGUGAAGCAGAAACGCAGUGCUUGGAUCAGUGCUCUCACGCAGAAAACACUAGACAUCACUGCUGACUUACAACACGUGCCCCAGAACUGUGAGCAAGGACACAUUCCUGCCCGCCUGCUGGAGCCUCAACACAGGGCAGACCUGAGAAUGCAAAACUGGGCCGAUCCCAUGGUCUGUGGGCUCUACCUGGCCUUGUCUUCCUGCCUCUGCCUGGAGCUAGAAGCACCGGCAAGAAGCCCAGCCCUCCAGAGACUGGAUGAAGAGCGGCACAAGAGACAGGAUCCGGGGAACAGCAACAGCACUUCCAGGAGAACCUCCCCGCACACAUACCAGGAGGCGUCAAUCUAACAGUGAAACUGUCUUAGGGAGCGGGUUGAUUGUCACUACAUGGUCUUUCAAAGAGAACAUCAGAACAGAGCAGUUCAACUACUGAUUUCUCGCAUGCUCUUGCUUUGUUGUAUCAAUUGUGUAAAAUGAUUUACAGUCUCAUCUAUCAGAGUCCAUUUAAAAUAACAACAAAGAAAACUAGUUAACAAUCCUUAACAUGGGAACAAGGUUUCUAGUUGAUCUGAGAGUUAGUUAAGCUUCAGCAAAACGCUGCAAAAACUUCUCACUGGGAUUCAGACCAUUCACCCCACCCCACCAGUUCCCUGCGUAGUAGAAAUGCCGUCUUUCAACAGACUUUGAGCCCUUGGUAAAAGAGGGGGUAAAACGCUGUGAGGCAGAGCAUGAAGAGUAAAAUGUAGAAACUUGUGGAAGCUUCGGUGCUCUCGAAGGCUUUACUCGGUGACCUGACUUGGGAUGGGGGUGAAAUUCUCUCUGUGAACAGACAGAAACCAGCAACCUUGCACUUACUUCGAUGUACAGGCUUUUGGGAGGUUUUACGUCCUGUGUAAGGUCCAGCCCCUCCUCUCCUCCUACUGACCUCAUGUAGGUAGCCAGAGACUUUUUGUACCGAUUGAACCACUCCACCUGCAGACAGCAACAGUGAACUCUCAGGCAAAGCUGAAUAAAUGCUGAAAGACAGGUCCCUGAUGGGUGACAUGUAGUUUAUUUGUGCUGUCAGACCGCUGUUCCCAAGUGCGUUCAUGCCAGCCAAAGGUGAACACAAGCUCUUCUAAAGGGAAAAACUGCCCCAGAGGCAGAGUAAUCUGGAGCCAGGGCGGGACACGUGCUGCUGACAUUAGCAGCUCUGUAUGUUGGUCUUACAGAUGCUCUCAAAUGAAAGCAGCAUGUGAAGACCUAGUUCUGCCGGCUGUGAGUCUGACCUUGUAAAGACCACCUGAUCCUUAAAAGUGCCAAGUUAUCACCUGCACUCCAUAUCCAUUUGGGAUUGUACCCACA